CAUAACACCGCGACGGGGCAUCCUGAUGCGGUUAAAUAUUCAUAGGGUAGCGGCUGGGCAUGCGUGACAUUAGCUAGUUGGCGGGGCAACGGCCCACCAAGGCGACGAUGUCUAGGGGAACUGAGAGGUCGAUCCCCCACACUGGUACUGAGACACGGACCAGACUCCUACGGGAGGCAGCAGUGAGGAAUAUUGGUCAAUGGAGGCAACUCUGAACCAGCCAUCUCGCGUGAAGGAAUACGGCCCUACGGGUCUUAAACUUCUUUUAUAGGGGGAUAAAUUGAGAUACGCGUAUCUUAUUGCAGGUACCCUAUGAAUAAGCAUCGGCUAACUCCGUGCCAGCAGCCGCGGUAAUACGGAGGAUGCGAGCGUUAUCCGGAUUUAUUGGGUUUAAAGGGUGCGCAGGCGGCACGUUAAGUCAGCGGUGAAAUGUCGGGGCUCAACCCGGGCACUGCCGUUGAAACUGGCGAGCUUGAGUACGGAUGAAGUUGGCGGAAUGUGAUGUGUAGCGGUGAAAUGCUUAGAUAUGUCACAGAACACCGAUUGCGAAGGCAGCUGACUAAUCCGCAACUGACGCUCAGGCACGAAAGCGUGGGGAUCGAACAGGAUUAGAUACCCUGGUAGUCCACGCAGUAAACGAUGAAGGCUAGCUAUUAGCGAUAGACAGUUAGUGGCUAAGGGAAACCGAUAAGCCUUCCACCUGGGGAGUACGCCGGCAACGGUGAAACUCAAAGGAAUUGACGGGGGCCCGCACAAGCGGAGGAACAUGUGGUUUAAUUCGAUGAUACGCGAGGAACCUUACCCGGGCUUGAAAGUUAGCGACGGACCUGGAAACAGGUCUUCCCGCAAGGGCGCGAAACUAGGUGCUGCAUGGUUGUCGUCAGCUCGUGCCGUGAGGUGUCGGCUCAAGUGCCAUAACGAGCGCAACCCUUGUCAUCAGUUGCCAUCAUUAAGUUGGGGACUCUGGUGAGACUGCCGCCGCAAGGUGAGAGGAAGGGGGGGAUGACGUCAAAUCAGCACGGCCCUUACGUCCGGGGCGACACACGUGUUACAAUGGAUGGUACAGAGGGCAGCGAAGGGGCGACCCGGAGCGAAUCUCAGAAAGCCAUUCCCAGUUCGGAUCGGAGUCUGCAACCCGACUCCGUGAAGCUGGAUUCGCUAGUAAUCGCGCAUCAGCCAUGGCGCGGUGAAUACGUUCCCGGGCCUUGUACUCACCGCCCGUCAAG
rnacentral:rRNA from 1 species